rnacentral:rRNA from 1 species
AUUGAACGCUGGCGGCAGGCCUAACACAUGCAAGUCGAACGAGUGGCGGACGGGUGAGUAAUGUCUGGGAAACUGCCUGAUGGAGGGGGAUAACUACUGGAAACGGUAGCUAAUACCGCAUACCAUCAGAUGUGCCCAGAUGGGAUUAGCUAGUUGGUGGGGUAACGGCUCACCAAGGCGUCGAUCCCUAGCUGGUCUGAGAGGAUGACGAGCCAGACUGUAACUGAGACACGGGCCAGACACCGACGGAAGGCGGCAUUGGGGAAUAUUGCACAAUAGGCGAAAGCCGGAUGCAGCCAGGCCGCGUGUAUGAAGAAGGCCUUCGGGUUGUAAAGUAAUUUCAGCGGGGAGGCGUUACCCGCAGAAGAAGCACCGGCUAACUCCGUGCCAGCAGCCGCGGUAAUUC